rnacentral:rRNA from 1 species
AUUCCAGCUCCAAUAGCGUAUAUUUAAGUUGUUGCAGUUAAAAAGCUCGUAGUUGGAUUUCGGGCGGGGCCUGCCGGUCCGCCUUUGGUGUGCACUGGCAUGGGCUCGCCUCGCUGGCGGGGACGGGCUCCUGGGCUUAACUGUCCGGGACUCGGAGUCGCCGAGGUUACUUUGAGUAAAUUAGAGUGUUCAAAGCAGGCCUACGCUCUGAAUACGUUAGCAUGGAAUAACACGAUAGGACUCUGGCCUAUCUUGUUGGUCUGUGGGACCGGAGUAAUGAUUAAGAGGGACGGUCGGGGGCAUUCGUAUUUCAUUGUCAGAGGUGAAAUUCUUGGAUUUAUGAAAGACGAACUUCUGCGAAAGCAUUUGCCAAGGAUGUUUUCAUUA